GCAGUAGCGCUGGUUGCGAAAUGCGCUGCUGCUAAUAAGAUAGCAGUAGCGAGCUUUUGGCACAAGCGCUACUGCUAAGCGGGGCCCGACAUGUGGCCAGUUUCAAAAUUAGCAGUAGCGACCUGCCAAAAAAGUGCGCUACUACUAUUAUUUUAGCAGUAGCGCGGUUAUCGUGAGCGCGCUACUGCUAAACCUAGGGUGGCGGGAACGGUCGGUCAAUUUUAGUAGCAGCUUGGUUCGACAAAGCCGCGCUGCUGCUAAGUUGGUAUCAGUAGCGGUUGUCUGUGGCGCCUCUUCCUGACCCGCGCUGCUGAUAAGAUUCUGUGUAUAAGGUUUUUCCUAGUAGUGUUUGUAUGCGCUUGAAAACCAUGGCUCCCAAGAAGAGAUCAAAUGUUCUUAAGCCGGUGGUUAGCAAAGCCGCCAAGUGGAUCAAGUCUUGCAUGACAGAACUCAUGCUCGAUGAAUUGGCGAGAGUUGGUUUGCUACCAGCCAAGGACCAGAUCGAAUGGCGAACUCCAGAGGAGGAGACUCGGCCACUGCCACGUCAAGGAGAAAUUGUCAUCUUUGCGGAUCACUUGGACAGGGGAUUCCGAUCGCCGGGUUCCAAGUUUUUCCGCGACAUCCUGAAUUUUUAUGACAUCAGACCCCAGGACCUUGGCCCUAAAUUGGUCCUUAAUUUAAGCAAUUUUCAAGUCUUUUGCGAAGUCUGUCUUCAAAUAGAUCCGACUGUCAGCCUCUUCCAAGAGUUCUUUUACCGCAAUAGACAAACUGAGUGCAGUAGAGGGCCAAGUCUGGAAUGCGGAGGGGUUACGAUCUACAGCCGAAGGACUUGUGCCUUCCCUGAAAUGAAACUGGCGAGUCAUCCAAAAGGAUGGCAGAAGAUUUGGUUUUGCUGCAAGGAUACUUCCCCAAACCAUCAACAUCAAUUGCCGGGUUACGGAUAUGGUCGGCUUGAAUCCACAAAGCAGUUUGCUUCUUAUGCAUCUACAGAAGAGAGGGUGGCUCUCGAACCCUUGUAUGCUAAUAUCAAUGCCCUAACAGCCCAUGCUCUCUCGGGGAAUUGACCUAACCCGGUGCUGGAUGAGCUGGCGAAUUCAGCCCCUCAGUCUCAGAAACCGGCUUAUGCAUGAAUACACUGGCAAGUUAAAUGAUGACUUGCGCUUCAGUAAGCAUAACUUGUCUUCCAGUGAUCUCAUGAAGGCCAUCAAGAAAAUUCUUGGUGAGACUCGUGAAAAGAUUGCAAUUGUGGGCCUUGCCCCUUUCUUUGCCGGUAACCCGGCACCUGAGGAGAACUCUGAAUGAUGGAAAACUGAACCACAAAUUCCAACUCCUCCAAAGGAUGACGCUCUGGAUGAGAGGGAAGAAGAAGAAGAGGAAUAAAUUGGACCAACAGAGCCGGUGAGACAGAGGUAAACCCUCCAGCCUCUGACUUGGAAACUCUUGGUCAAGGAGAACCCCGGCUUGCGGUACGUAAGGUACCAUUUUCACAUCCAUCAGUUUACUUGGAUAAACACUUAUCUCUGAAGAAAACGCAGCACACUGGAAGUCUGAAGAGGAAGACCCGGAGCAGCUCUGGCAUACUCUCU